AUUGAACGCUGGCGGCAGGCCUAACACAUGCAAGUCGAACGAGUGGCGGACGGGUGAGUAAUGUCUGGGAACCUGCCUGAUGGAGGGGGAUAACUACUGGAAACGGUAGCUAAUACCGCAUACCAUCAGAUGUGCCCAGAUGGGAUUCGCUUGUGGGGGGGGUAACGGCUCACCAGGGCGACGAUCCCUAGCUGGUCUGCGAGGAUGACCAGCCACACUGGAACUGGGACACGGUCCAGACUCCUCCGGUAGGCAGCAGUGGGGAAUAUUGCGCAAUGGGCGCAAGCCGUAUGCAGCCAUGCCGCGUGUAUGAAGAAGGCCGUCGGGUUGUAAAGUACUUUCAGCGGGGAGGCGUUACCCGCAGAAGAAGCACCGGCUAACUCCGUGCCAGCAGCCGCGGUAAUAC
rnacentral:rRNA from 1 species